AAUGAACGCUGGCGGCGUGCCUAAUACAUGCAAGUCGAGCGAACGGACGAGCAGCUUGCUUCUCUGAUGUUAGCGGCGGACGGGUGAGUAACACGUGGAUAACCUACCUAUAAGACUGGGAUAACUUCGGGAAACCGGAGCUAAUACCGGAUAAUAUUUUGAACCGCAUGGUUCAAAAGUGAAAGACGGUCUUGCUGUCACUUAUAGAUGGAUCCGCGCUGCAUUAGCUAGUUGGUAAGGUAACGGCUUACCAAGGCAACGAUGCAUAGCCGACCUGAGAGGGUGAUCGGCCACACUGGAACUGAGACACGGUCCAGACUCCUACGGGAGGCAGCAGUAGGGAAUCUUCCGCAAUGGGCGAAAGCCUGACGGAGCAACGCCGCGUGAGUGAUGAAGGUCUUCGGAUCGUAAAACUCUGUUAUUAGGGAAGAACAUAUGUGUAAGUAACUGUGCACAUCCUGACGGUACCUAAUCAGAAAGCCACGGCUAACUACGUG
rnacentral:rRNA from 1 species